GACCGCCGCAGCACAAUCGGUGAGUUAGACUUUUGUUUCUUCUGUGUACUUCGCUGAUGUGAUUUGCCUUGAGCUCUUGGACGCUUUGUUUCAGAAGAAAGUUGAGAAAUUCGUGACUGAAUCUGAAGGGAGGCAAGCAAUUCUUCAUUGCGUUUUAUAUUCUCAAUCCUCCGCCGUUCGUAAUCCGUCAAUUUCUUCGCCGACAUUGCAAUAUUAUUU
rnacentral:misc_RNA from 1 species